GACCCCCUUUUCACUUUGCCAGUUGGACUUAUGUCAUUACUGGUCAUUCAGGUGGGCAAAGAAAAUGCAAUUUAAAAACCCAUGCAAACUAGUUGUUGGUCUAGUGUGCUGUUGAAACAAAU
ensembl:snoRNA